GGUGGCUCAGUAGUAGAGUGUUUGCCUUGCAUGCAUGAGACCCUGGGUUCGAUUCCUCAGCACCA
rnacentral:tRNA from 1 species